GGGCCCGCACAAGCAGUGGAGCAUGUGGUUUAAUUCGAAGCAACGCGAAGAACCUUACCAGGUCUUGACAUCCUCUGCCAGCUCUGGAGACAGAGUGUUCCCCUUCGGGGGACAGAGUGACAGGUGGUGCAUGGUUGUCGUCAGCUCGUGUCGUGAGAUGUUGGGUUAAGUCCCGCAACGAGCGCAACCCUUGAUCUUAGUUGCCAGCAUUAAGUUGGGCACUCUAAGGUGACUGCCGGUGACAAACCGGAGGAAGGUGGGGAUGACGUCAAAUCAUCAUGCCCCUUAUGACCUGGGCAACACACGUGCUACAAUGGGUGGUACAACGGGUAGCGAAGCCGUGAGGUGAAGCCAAUCCCAAAAAACCGCUCUCAGUUCGGAUUGUAGGCUGCAACUCGCCUGCAUG
rnacentral:rRNA from 1 species